rnacentral:rRNA from 1 species
AAUUCCAGCUCCAAUAGUGUAUAUUAGAGUUGUUGCAGUUAAAAAGCUCGUAGUUGGAUUUCUGUCGUGGUCAUCCGGCCUUGCCCGUAGGGUGUGCGCCUGGGUUGCCUGCGGCUUUCUUCCGGUAGCCUUCCGCGCUUCGCUGCGUGCGUUGGUGUUCCGGAACUUUUACUUUGAGAAAAAUAGAGUGUUUCAAGCAGGCUUGUCGCCCUGAAUACUGCAGCAUGGAAUAAUAAGAUAGGACCUUGGUUCUAUUUUGUUGGUUUCUAGGACCGAGGUAAUGAUUAAUAGGGACAGUUGGGGGCAUUCGUAUUUAACUGUCAGAGGUGAAAUUCUUAGAUUUGUUAAAGACGAACUACUGCGAAAGCAUUUGCCAAGGAUGUUUUCAUUAAUCAAGAACGACAGUAGGGGGUUUGAAGACGAUUAGAUACCGUCGUAAUCUCUACCAUAAACUAUGCCGACUAGAGAUAGGGAAAUGCCUACCUUGGCUUCUCCUG